CGCUGGCAGGUUUGCCAGCUGCGCGAAUGCGGGGGACCGGAGGACCCUCCUGGGCUCACGCUGUGCUUGGAGAUGGAGCCGCUGAGGGCCGAGAUGUACUGAAGCAGAGCGGUGCUUCGAUAUAAACCGAAACACCUUCGUUACCCCCUGCCCAGCGAUCUUAUUACAGUAAUUGUUUCUGGUAGCGUCAGAUUCAUUGCAUUUUUGGAGAAGAUCUUAAGGUAUCCUCAAACCUAUGCCUAUGCCUUCUUCAGAUGAUCAACUAUCACGUCCUUCAGGAGAAUACAAGGCGAAACACUCCAGAAUUUUGUUUGGGACCCUUCUUGGACACGGCCUCUGUGAAUGAUGAAUAUAAGUGAAAAAGUACUCAUAAAAGAGUUCAGGAAUCUAGUCAGCUGAAUUUCCAGUGAUAAUCUCAAUUGCAAGAUCUAGUCACAAUUAUUUCCUUGGAUUUUAUCCAUGUUAUUGUUUAUUGCAUCUUUAA